AUAGAUCAGGACUGGGGGUUGUUUUAAAUAAUGAGUUUAAUAUACUCAUUAUUCUUACUCCUUUGCCAUCACCCCACCAAAUCAAAGAAAUAUUUAUUAUUAUCCAUUUCUACCAGUGAAACUCUUCUUAGGAUUGGCCUUAAACAGAGAGAAAAUUACCUCAGUGCAAUUAUAUAUAUUGUUGAUGCAAGUCCUGGAAAUCUUAUAAUUUCUUUUUGUUUGAAAAAUACAUAUGUUCUUGUAUACAUAUAUUGCAAUUGAGAAAAGCUACUGCUUAGCAAAUAAAAGCAUAUUGUCAAUGGAAAAAUUGUCACAAUCCCAAUUUUCUACAGGCUCUUACAAUGGCACAUUUUUCUAGCAGCUUUUUUUAUGUCACCAGUGCACUUGUUGAGAGUAGACAGAUUCUAGGGAUUUACACAGGUUAAAUUACCUUAUGACAUUGUAUGAUUGCUUUGGAACACAGCAAUAUAUCUACUGCAUCCAGUGCUUGGGUCCUAGGCACUAGAAACAUUAUUUAAAGCAAGGAGCUGUCAUGAAGAUUCUGCACUCUUUGCCCCACUUUACUUCAAGAGGAGGAUACAGCUGCUUCAUGCUUCCAAAGAUUUUAGCAAAAGAAAUAACAUUUUUUGUUCCACACUUUUUAUUCUGCUUCUGCUAUUUACAUAGCUAGGAUACAGACUGAAAUAAAGAUUUCUUGCAUUUAAAAUGUAGUGAGAUCUGAGCUCCUAUUUAAAGGAGAGGGUUCAGGAGCUGUAGUUUUAUUAUCAGUAACUUUGGACAUCUGCCCCUGAUCUUCCCCUAGGCCUGGAAUUAUAACAGUUAUUUUCUGCAUUGAUGGAGGAGGAAAACAAAAAGAGGAACAAAUGUCAACACAGUGAUGAAAAAGGUCAGAAUUAAACAUGAAGUUAGAUCUGCCAUGGGACAGGACGGCAGUGCACUAAAAAGGGAAUGACCAUCCCUGAGGAAGUGUCCUGGCAGUUCUGCACCAGGGCAACAGCCAGGAGUUUUCACUGGGUUUGCCAGCAAGGGCACAGCUCCCUCCACGGUGGCAUCAGGGACAGUGACAAGCCAGUCUCUGUCCUCUGAGUGGACUCCACAACUCUGCCCAGCUGACAGUGGCUCUGCACUGUCCCUUAGGCAUGGAGAUGUCACAGCUCCUGCCUCUUGAAAAUCUGCUAGAAUUUCCAAACCAUUGACAGCAGACCUCAAGGCUCUUCUUUCUUGUAUGAAAACAAAACAAAUAUCUGAUAUAUUCUUCAUUUUACUUUAUAAUAUCUCAUGUGACUGGAAACAUGUCACUUGCAAAUAUAGACAAUAUUUGACUUAAUUUUUAUUUUAAUCAAUAUCUCAAGGAAUAUUCCCAAGGAUUUUUGUUAAUACUGAAUUUAAGCAAUUAACAGAUGUGACUAUUCUGCCAAAUAUUAAUUAAGGUAAUAUAGUGAACAAUCUGUACUAGGACUAGACCUCUAAAGGAUGUGCAGAAAUUCUUCUUAAAAAUCUGGUGCUUUUCUGGAGCAGUUAACAAUCCUUUCCACUCAUGUUAUGAUGAAGCAGUUAGGAAUUUAUAGGAAUUUCAAAGCAGUCUGGACCUCAGAGGAUGCCAUUAAGGGGCCUGCAGAAGACCUGUCAACAACUAGUAAAUGCUCCUUCUCACCCAUCCACCACCUAAAACUAAUUAUGAACAAAUGUCAGUGAAAUUAUAAUAUUGGCUGCAGGAUAAUAAAUCACAAAAGGGACGACAAAAAAAAAAAAAAACAAAAAAAAA
rnacentral:lncRNA from 1 species